CUCUCGUGCUAGGGGAGCCCUCGGGGCUGAGAGGGGCCAGGAGCCCGACCCUUGGAACCUGAUGCGGGUCAUACCGCCGCAGGGAAGCGUGGCCCACUGCCA
rnacentral:ncRNA from 2 species